rnacentral:rRNA from 1 species
AUUGAACGCUGGCGGCAGGCCUAACACAUGCAAGUCGAGCGGGGUUUUCGGACCUAGCGGCGGACGGGGGAGUAAUGCGUAGGAAGCUGCCCGAUAGAGGGGGAUACCAGUUGGAAACGACUGUUAAUACCGCAUAAUGUCUACGGACCAAAGUGUGGGACCUUCGGGCCACAUGCUAUCGGAUGCGCCUACGUGGGAUUAGCUAGUUGGUGAGGUAAUGGCUCACCAAGGCGACGAUCUCUAGCUGGUUUGAGAGGAUGAUCAGCCACACGGGAACUGAGACACGGUCCAGACUCCUACGGGAGGCAGCAGUGGGGAAUAUUGGACAAUGGGCGCAAGCCUGAUCCAGCCAUGCCGCGUGUGUGAAGAAGGCCUUCGGGUUGUAAAGCACUUUCAGCGAGGAGGAAGGGGUGUGUGUUAAUAGUACACACCUUUGACGUUACUCGCAGAAGAAGCACCGGCUAACUCUGUGCCAGCAGCCGCAGUAAGAC